CAGCAGCCGCGGUAAAACAGAGGGUGCGAGCGUUAAUCGGAUUUACUGGGCGUAAAGCGUGCGUAGGCGGCUUUUUAAGUCGGAUGUGAAAUCCCCGAGCUUAACUUGGGAAUUGCAUUCGAUACUGGGAAGCUAGAGUAUGGGAGAGGAUGGUAGAAUUCCAGGUGUAGCGGUGAAAUGCGUAGAGAUCUGGAGGAAUACCGAUGGCGAAGGCAGCCAUCUGGCCUAAUGCUGACGCUGAGGUACGAAAGCAUGGGGAGCAAACAGGAUUAGAGACCCCUGUAGUCCCUGUCUCUUAUAC
rnacentral:rRNA from 1 species